UAUGGUCACAUAUUUCAGUGUAUAUAGAAUGCAUGUACUAGUGUAUAUAUACACAGUAUAUAUGCACUUAUCAAGGAGCUAGGGGUGUAUGUGCAUGAGCAUAGCAGUGUAUAUAUACAUUCAUAAUUGUAUAUAACUGAUAACAAGCAACUAUAUACACGUAUAAACAUAUCAGUUUAUACAUAUCGUAUAAAUACAACAGUCCAUAUAUAACAUACACAUAUGUGUAUUAUAUAUAUCUGGGAGUGUGUGUUAGUGUGAGUGUGUGUGUGAGUGUGAAUGUGAGUGUGAAUGUGUGUGUGUGAGUGAGUGUGUCUGUGUGUGUGUGAGUGAGUGUGUAUGUGUAUGUGUAUGUGUGUGUGAGCGUGUAAGUGUGUGUGGGUGUAGUAUAUAAAUCAGUGUACAUAUACGUUCGUAACUGUAUAAAUUGAUAAUAAGUGUAUAUAUGGUCAUACACAUCAAUGUAUAUAAAAA
rnacentral:lncRNA from 1 species